rnacentral:rRNA from 1 species
GUCAUAGACGCGAAACCUAGUGAUCUAGGCCUGUCCAGGCUGAAGCUGAGGUAAGACUCAGUGGAGGGCCGAACUCACCGCCGUUGAAAAGUUGGGAGAUGAGAUAGGUCUAGGGGUGAAAAGCCAAUCGAACUAGGAGAUAGCUCGUUCUCUCCGAAAUGCAUUUAGGUGCAGCCUUGAACUGAGAUAUGUGGGGGUAGAGCUCUGUAUGAUCUAGGGGGCGUACUGCUUACCGAAAUCAAGCAAACUGCGAAUACCAUAUAUCAUGUUCAGGAGUGAGUCCGUGGAUGACAAGGUCCUCGGACGAGAGGGGAACAGCCCAGACCGCCAGCUAAGGUCCCUAAUUAUGUCUAAGUGGGAAAGGAGGUGGACAUUCAUAGACAACCAGGAGGUUGGCUUAGAAGCAGCCAUGCCUUGAAAGAGUGCGUAAUAGCUCACUGGUCGAGAGUGCCUGCGCCGAAGAUGUAACGGGGCUAAGACAUAAACCGAAGCUGCGGAAGAUACACUGUAUCUUGGUAGGAGAGCGUUCUGUAGGCCGUCGAAGGGAUGCCGCAAGGCCGUCCUGGAGGUAUCAGAAGCGAGAAUGCAGGAAUGAGUAGCGAGAAGGCGGGCGAGAAUCCCGCCGGCCGGAAGUCCAAGGUUUCCAGGGGAAGGCUUGUCCGCCCUGGGGAAGUCGGGACCUAAGCAUAAGCAAAAUUGUGACGGCGAAUGGAAAACAGGUUAAUAUUCCUGUACCGCUGUUAUCGCUUGAGAGACGGAGUGACGCAGGAAGGUAUGCGAGAAGGCUGACGGUUUAGCCUUUCUAAGGGCCCAGCGUGGGCGUGCAGGCAAAUCCGCACGCCUAAACGUGAGACCUGACGGGGAAGUGCAUUUGCAUAAGUCGCAGAUCCUACACUGCCAAGAAAAACUUCUAUCGAUGAGAAGCAGCGCCCGUACUGUAAACCGACACAGGUGGACAGAGUGAGAAACUUAAGGCCGACAGGAUAACUCUAGCUAAGGAACUCUGCAAAAUAGCCCCGUAACUUCGGGAGAAGGGGUGCCUGAUAUACCUGAAGGAGAGAAGCGCUCCCAGGGGAAACAGGCCGCAGUGAAGAGUCUCAAGCAACUGUUUACCAAAAACACAGGUCUAUGCUAAGCUGAAAGGCGACGUAUAUGGGCUGACACCUGCCCAGUGCCGGAAGGUUAAGAGGAGGAGUGAGAGCUCCGAUUUGAAGCCCCGGUGAACGGCGGCCGUAACUAUAACGGUCCUAAGGUAGCGAAAUUCCUUGUCGGGUAAG